rnacentral:lncRNA from 1 species
GGGCUUUACAUCGGAAGAUUAUUUUCAAUCAUCUAUUAUUUUCUUAUAAUAUUCAUCUGACUACUCUCUUUAACAAAUAUAUAACCUUAUUUCACUAAUGAUGUACCUAAGUGUAGUUUUGAUUCAGAAUUCUCCGUCAUCAUGAGUUUGUUCUUGCCUCUAGCUAAGUAUUUUAGGGUUAAUCUCUAGUUAAGUCUCUAGUUUGCACAGUCACAUACACCUGUCUGUUGCUGACUCUUUUAACUCCUGGAUUCUUUCUCAUUUAGAAAUACCCAGUCAAUACAAUUUGUCUUUAUUUUAUAUUGCUUGGACAAGGAGUCCCAGAGGUUCUUGAUGUUUCCUGUUUAGGCAAAAAUAGGUAUGGGAUAAUAGGAACUGAAUCAGUGAUAAGAGAGUAAGGCAAUUGGUCUGAAAAAAUUAAGUAUAUUAGUUGGUGAGAGGAGACAGAUAAAUUAAGAUGUGGUAGAAAAGGAAAUGAGAGACAGUGACUAGGUUGAGAAAUUAAGGACUUCAAAAGUACCAGCAAAAUAAGUAUAAAGAGGAGACAACAAAAGUACUCAGUUUGCCCCUAAGUGUAAAACCUUAGCCUAGUCACUUAAAUUAUGUAGGUCUCAGCCUUUCCAUCUGUAAAAUGAAACAGUAGGACUUCGUAAUCUCCAAAGCUCUUUCCAACACUAACAGUCUCUGAUUCCAUGUCAAAAUUGGCACUGGGAAAAGGAAGCAUGCCAGUAACAUAGAGCCAGGAAUUGGUGAUUACUUUACCUAUGUUCUGAAAGGCUAGCAUGUUGCUUGCCCUUGCUGCUUCUAAUAACAACAACAAAGAAAUAAAACUCUAAACCUGACACUAGGAUAAUGACCAUACCUAUGGCAAAGUGUCAGAAGGUUCUACCAUUUUAUUGGUUCUAGUAGAGAGGAUGGCCAAGUGCCCUGAUUUGCUCACCCACAUAGGAAUUAUCUGAGCCUCACAGCUUGAGUUCCUGCUGGAGCCAGCUUCACUAUGUAUGUGUGCCAGACAAGUGUCUGACAGUUGGGGCUCCUGCCUGUUGCUCACCAAUGAGUUAUUUAAAACCGGACAUAAUUUCACAAGUAUGUGGAUAGAUGAGAGAGAGAGACAGACAG